rnacentral:lncRNA from 7 species
CCUUUCUCCUCGUGCGGCAGGUGGGGUUUGGUGUUAUGGUGGCUCUCGGUAGAGCUGCGGUGAGGGCCCCCAUCCCCCGGGCAGCGGUGGUGCACGCCGUGCCUCCUCGUCCCCCAAGGGCUAUAGGCCCGACCGCUCGAGGUGGCAGUUGAGGGAGAUGAAGGAGAGCUGGCCUCGCUCCUCCCGUCCCCGCAGGCCCUUAUGGAGGCGGAUGGCGGUACCGCGCCCGGCCGGGAGUGCGCAGGCAGCGCUGGAACGGCCCUGCGGUCCGUCCUGAGAUCGACUGCUGAGGAGUACUGCUUUAAUGCUUGUUUGGUGUCUAUUCCCCCAGCGGAACGAUGCCCUGAAGCAAAGAAAGCUGGGAUUUGCAGAUGAUGUGAUACAAUAAGGAGUGGGAGCAGGCAUCUGUCUGGAGAUGGCCAUAAUGUGAAGCCCUUCAGAAGGCCUUGGGACAGAAGUGAGACUGCAAGGGCAAGAGAUUGUUCUGGGUGUUGAUGCUGAAAGCACAUUUGUUUGAGGAAGAAGGAACCCAAUGGAACAUGAGUGAGCUUGGCAACUGACCUUUGUAAACGUCACCUGUUUUUCUGUCCCUUCGGAGGACGAUGUGCUCAGGUUUGCUCAGGCCGUCCCUUACUCAGCUGUAGUUCAACAUGGCCCACAACAACAGCAGAUGAAACACUCUACAUCUCUUCUACCUCCUUCAGAUGACCUCAAGAUGGUCUGCCAGCGUUCCCAUAAAGCUGCGUCAUCUCCAUACUACAGAGGAAGAGUGUGGGGAUCACUGAGUGAGUGGAAGGGAAGGGCUUGGUAAGGGUUGCUAACACACUUUUGCUUAAGUGUGUUAAAUCAAGUAUGUAUUACUUUCAGCUGUAGCAGUGAGUGAAUAAAAUCUUUAUGCUGAGUGCUCCUCGGGAUGGGAAACAC